rnacentral:rRNA from 1 species
UCUUCCCUCUUUCUUCGUGCCUAAUACAUGCAAGUCGAGCGAACGGACGAGAAGCUUGCUUCUCUGAUGUUAGCGGCGGACGGGUGAGUAACACGUGGAUAACCUACCUAUAAGACUGGGAUAACUUCGGGAAACCGGAGCUAAUACAGGAUGAUAUUUUGAACCGCAUGGUUCAAAAGUGAAAGACGGUCUUGCUGUCACUUAUAGAUGGAUCCGCGCUGCAUUAGCUAGUUGGUAAGGUAACGGCUUACCAAGGCAACGAUGCAUAGCCGACCUGAGAGGGUGAUCGGCCACACUGGAACUGAGACACGGUCCAGACUCCUACGGGAGGCAGCAGUAGGGAAUCUUCCGCAAUGGGCGAAAGCCUGACGGAGCAACGCCGCGUGAGUGAUGAAGGUCUUCGGAUCGUAAAACUCUGUUAUUAGGGAAGAACAUAUGCGUAAGUAACUGUGCACAUCUUGACGGUACCUAAUCAGAAAGCCACGGCUAACUACGUG